CCGAGAGCGUGGGGGCGUUAAGAUACAACACUUAGAUAAGUUGUCAUGGCUGAAAUUGAAGCGGCCAGAAAGAUGUGAACAAGCUGAAGCAAUAACAUCAAAUGGAUCCAAUCGAAAGCGGUCUCCAUCCUCCAAACAAGAGAAACUCUGUUCCUCCUGGUGAGGAAGGGACACUACUAAUAGUGAUCAGGAUUAUAGAGCACCAACACAUAAUGCAAGGGCAGCGGAUUUUACCAUGCCUCCAUCAACAAGUGCUGGCUGAGAAGAUCAUAAUGUGAACACAGAUUCCUGAGGCAAGGCCAAGGAGCUGAGAUUCGCAGCUGGCCAGAAGAAAAUUGCUUGGGAGCUGUUGCUAGCCUUGAGCUAUAGGUGCUAGUGCAUAUGGCUCACUUUUUCGGACUCAGAGGAGUUUUCUUCAGUUGUAGAAAUUUUAGCUUGGCUUUAUACCCUGUAGUAAUGAUGUUUUUGUGUUUGUAAAUUCUGUUAAUCCUAGGCAUUCAGAACAUCAAGGAAAGACUAUACACUGCCAUAAGAAAUAUAAGCUACCACCCUCAGGCCUGAAGCCUUGCCUACCUAUUUCGAGCUGUAUUUUGGUCUGUUUACCUGAAAUAACCAGUGAUGCCUACAGUAAGAAUUUUCAUGGCUGAUAGCUAACCUGUGACCUAACGUGUGUUUGCCUUGCUUUGCUUAGUCUGACUGCUCAAUGUGAUAACCCCAGAAUAAAAAUCGUUACAGUGCUUAAGGGAGCGCAGGGAUCUGUGUGCCCAGACUGGGGAACUGCAAUUAAAGCUUUGAAAAAAUGCUCUAAAAUGAGAAUCAUCCAAUGAUCUUGGUAGUUUGAUUCAUUUGCAGGAUAAUCCUCCAAGGGCAGCAACCUGAAGAGAAGCAGCUCGACCUGUUUUGUUGAUUUCAGUGAUGCUGUUUUAAGGAAGCAUGUGGCAGGAGAUGGUUCCCUCAGCAGAGAUGAUCAGCAGCAAGCAGAGGGUGCCAUCAGUUUGCCAGAUUCAGGUCAUGUCAGACACCUCUACAGUGACUGCACGCUGGCAUUGAGCCCAGUUUUCUGUUGGAUCUGUCUUCAUGUAAACUAGUAUCUUCCCUGCAUCAGUCUCACUCUGCUCAUCUUCCUCCUGUCUGCAGCAGCAGCCUGCACUCAACUUUGCAUUCUGACACACUGCUGUGUCACAGGGCUUUCAAGCAAGGUCUGUUUGACUUGGGCCACUUGUGUUUCCUCUUAGGCAGCCUCAGCAAAUGAAGCAAAACCAUCUUCCCAUCAUUGUCCAGGCCAGAGUCAUUAGCUCAGUCUCUUCAGAGUUUGGACUUUUUGAAGGCUGUAGUUUUAUCCUGUCUUGGCUGGAUUCUGCUUUCUGAGUGGUCUGGAGGUGACUGAAGACUUUGGAUGGCAUGAGUGUUUUGUGCCUGUGUUUUCUGUGGGAGAAAGGCUAUGCUGAGUGGAGAAGUGCAGAGGGGUGUGGGUGGAGGGCAGAAGAGGUGGCUUGGGUGGGCUGGCUUUCUCCACAGCUGGAGGCUCUGUGGAGAUCUACCGCCAGCCAUGGAGGACAAGCUCUGACUUGCAGCGUAGCCACAGCUGAGUUCUGGAACUCCAUCAUAUGUGAGCAGGGCUGGGAAGUGGAUAGUGGUUGUCCCCUAGGUGGUUAUAGGUGUCCCUGCCUGUGGAUGUUUGCCUAUGGAGCUGAGAGAAACAAAAAUACUAAUUGUGUGUAAUGCAGAUGAACUGGUGCUUGUGGUGUUUCAGGUAGGUUCAGUGCAGUUAAAUUGCAGCUUAAUGCAGUCCUGUGGAGUGAUUCUUGCAUAUGGUCAUGUUUGAGUGUUAGCUAAAUACAAGCUUAUAAACAGCAA